GAAUUGACGGGGGCCCGCACAAGCAGCGGAGCAUGUGGUUUAAUUCGAAGCAACGCGAAGAACCUUACCAGGGCUUGACAUCCACAGAAUCGAGUAGAAAUACUUGAGUGCCUCGUAAGAGGAGCUGUGAGACAGGUGGUGCAUGGUUGUCGUCAGCUCGUGUCGUGAGAUGUUGGGUUAAGUCCCGCAACGAGCGCAACCCCUGUUGGUAGUUACCAGCGUAAAGACGGGGACUCUACCGAGACUGCCGUGGAAAACACGGAGGAAGGCGGGGAUGACGUCAAAUCAUCAUGCCCUUUAUGCCCUGGGCUACACACGUGCUACACUGGCCUGAACAGAGGGCAGCGAAGGAGCGAUCCGGAGCGAAUCCCAGAAAACAGGUCCCAGUUCAGAUUGCAGGCUGCAACCCGCCUGCAUGAAGACGGAGUUGCUAGUAAUCGCGGAUCAACAUGCCGCGGUGAAUACGUUCCCGGGCCUUGUACACACCG
rnacentral:rRNA from 1 species